UCUUUUCUGCCACCGGAGCUUGCUCCACCGGAAAAAGAGGAGUGGCGAACGGGUGAGUAACACGUGGGUAACCUGCCCAUCAGAAGGGGAUAACACUUGGAAACAGGUGCUAAUACCGUAUAACAAUCGAAACCGCAUGGUUUCGAUUUGAAAGGCGCUUUCGGGUGUCGCUGAUGGAUGGACCCGCGGUGCAUUAGCUAGUUGGUGAGGUAACGGCUCACCAAGGCGACGAUGCAUAGCCGACCUGAGAGGGUGAUCGGCCACAUUGGGACUGAGACACGGCCCAAACUCCUACGGGAGGCAGCAGUAGGGAAUCUUCGGCAAUGGACGAAAGUCUGACCGAGCAACGCCGCGUGAGUGAAGAAGGUUUUCGGAUCGUAAAACUCUGUUGUUAGAGAAGAACAAGGAUGAGAGUAACUGUUCAUCCCUUGACGGUAUCUAACCAGAAAGCCACGGCUAACUACGUGCCAGCAGCCGCGGUAAUACGUAGGUGGCAAGCGUUGUCCGGAUUUAUUGGGCGUAAAGCGAGCGCAGGCGGUUUCUUAAGUCUGAUGUGAAAGCCCCCGGCUCAACCGGGGAGGGUCAUUGGAAACUGGGAGACUUGAGUGCAGAA
rnacentral:rRNA from 1 species